CCUACGGGGGGCUGCAGUGAGGAAUAUUGGGCAAUGGGCGCAAGCCUGACCCAGCCAUGCCGCGUGAAGGAUGAAUGCCCUAUGGGUUGUAAACUUCUUUUGUAUGGAACGAAACUCUUGGUCGUGACCAGGAUUGACUGUACCGUACGAAUAAGCAUCGGCUAACUCCGUGCCAGCAGCCGCGGUAAUACGGAGGAUGCAAGCGUUAUCCGGAUUCAUUGGGUUUAAAGGGUGAGUAGGCGGCAGAGUAGAAAGCCUGCGGCUUAACCGUAGAAUUGCCAUUGAUACUGUUAUUCUUGAGUAUAGUUGAGGUGGGCGGAAUGUGUAAUGUAGCGGUGAAAUGCUUAGAUAUUACACAGAACACCAAUUGCGAAGGCAGCUCACUAAGCUGUUACUGACGCUGAGGCACGAAAGCGUGGGGAGCAAACAGGAUUAGAUACCCUUGUAGUC
rnacentral:rRNA from 1 species